GCCAGCAGCCAUAACACUGGCAGUUCAGACUAGGUGAUUCCCCUGAAGCUAAGCUGGUUUGGGCCUGGCCAGUACUUGGAUGGGAGACCAACUACGUUGCUGCUGGAA
rnacentral:rRNA from 1 species